UAAGCUUCAGUUUUUAGAAAUAUAGUUUUGUCGGAACUAAGAUUUUUUGCUUAG
rnacentral:tRNA from 1 species